rnacentral:rRNA from 1 species
AAUACCGCAUAUGCCAUAACCAUCACAUGAUGGUAGUGGGAAAGGAGUAAUCCGCUAACAGAUGGGCUCGCGUCUGAUUAGAUAGUUGGUGGGGUAACGGCCUACCAAGUCUACGAUCAGUAGCCGGACUGAGAGGUUGAACGGCCACAUUGGGACUGAGAUACGGCCCAGACUCCUACGGGAGGCAGCAGUCGGGAAUAUUGCGCAAUGGAGGAAACUCUGACGCAGUGACGCCGCGCAUAGGAAGAAGGUCUUCGGAUUGUAAACUAUUGUCGUUAGGGAAGAAAAAGGACAGUACCUAAGGAGGAAGCUCCGGCUAACUACGUGCCAGCAGCCGCGGUAAUACGUAGGGAGCAAGCGUUAUCCGGAUUUAUUGGGUGUAAAGGGUGCGUAGACGGGAUAAUAAGUUAGUUGUGAAAUCCCUCGGCUCAACUGAGGAACUGCAACUAAAACUGUUAUUCUUGAGUGUUGGAGAGGAAAGCGGAAUUCCUAGUGUAGCGGUGAAAUGCGUAGAUAUUAGGAGGAACACCAGUGGCGAAGGCGGCUUUCUGGACAAUAACUGACGUUGAGGCACGAAAGUGUGGGGAGCAAACAGGAUUAGAUACCCUGGUAGUCCACACCGUAAACGAUGAAUACUAGGUGUAGGUUAUGUCAUGUAAUCUGUGCCGUCGC